rnacentral:rRNA from 1 species
AGCAAUGUCUGGGAAACUGCCUGAUGGAGGGGGAUAACUGCUGGAAACGGUAGCUAAUACCGCAUAACGUCGCAAGACCAAAGAGGGGGACCUUCGGGCCUCUUGCCAUCGGAUGUGCCCAGAUGGGAUUAGCUAGUAGGUGGGGUAACGGCUCACCUAGGCGACGAUCCCUAGCUGGUCUGAGAGGAUGCCAGCCACACUGGAACUGAGACACGGUCCAG